rnacentral:misc_RNA from 1 species
GAUGAAGAACGUAGCGAAAUGCGAUAAGUAAUGUGAAUUGCAGAUUUCAGUGAAUCAUCGAAUCUUUGAACGCACCUUGCGCCUUGUGGUAUUCCACAAGGCAUGCCCGUUUGAGUAUCAUUAAAUCAUCAACUCUAAAAACUUUGUGUUUUUUUGAGCUUGGUCUUGAGGGUUUUUUGCAGGCGGUUCCGUCUGCUCCCUUUAAAUGCAUUAGCGAGACUUCCCUAUGCUGAACCGUCUCUUUGACGUGAUAAUUAUCUGCGUCGAAUUUUGGUUCUCGUUGGGCUUGCUUCUAAUCGUCUGUUAAAGACAAAACGGAUUUGGGUGCAUAUAUGCGCCUUUUUCCAAAACCUUUUUUGAUCUCAAAUCGGGUAGGACUACCCGCUGAACUUAAGCAUAUCAAUAAGCGGAGGA